UGUCAGCAUAUGGCAGGUAUUUCAUUAAAGAUCACUGAACUAAAGAACCACGUUAUGAGAAAGGAGCCUGGAGGAGAGUGAUAACUGUUGGAGGCAAGUAUUAGUCUACCUGAUAGAAGAGGUUUCAGGAGCAGGCAGAAGGGGAGAGGCCCAGAGCAAAUAGUGUCUUCAGUCACUUAUCAAAGGCCCCUUGUCCUCUCAUAAAAUGUAAGUGCAAAAAACAAUGCCUGUAAUACUCCUGGAGAUAGAAGACAAACAAAGAUUUCAGCAAAUAACUGGAGACUAUAAAAACUGGGACAUUGUUUAUUUGCAAAAGAAUCAACUAGAAAUGCUAGGACCAAAAUAUAAUCAAAGAUGAGCUUCAUUCAAAACACUGAAAGUCUGACUAGAACAGACUGAAAAGUUUGACCACCCCCAAGGAAGAAGGA